GCCAGAAUGGCAUAGCCGUUUGAGCGUUGGACUAGGAUUCUGGAGACCAGGGUUCGAAUCCCAGCUCAGCCA